rnacentral:rRNA from 1 species
UACAGAGGUCUCAAGCGUUGUUCGGAUUCAUUGGGCGUAAAGGGUGCGUAGGUGGCGAGGUUAGUCAGGUGUGAAAUCUCGGGGCUCAACCCCGAAACUGCACUUGAUACUGCCUUGCUAGAGUACUGGAGAGGAGAUUGGAAUUUACGGUGUAGCAGUGAAAUGCGUAGAUAUCGUAAGGAAGACCAGUGGCGAAGGCGAAUCUCUGGACAGUUUACUGACACUGAGGCACGAAGGCCAGGGGGAGCAAACGGG